CCCUUAGAUGUUCUGGGCCGCACGCGCGCUACACUGAUGCAUUCAACGAGCCUAUCCUUGACCGACAGGUCCGGGUAAUCUUUGAAUCUGCAUCGUGACGGGGAUAGAUUAUUGCAAUUAUUAAUCUUCGACGAGGAAUGCCUAGUAGGCGCAAGUCAUCAGCUUGCGUCGAUUACGUCCCUGCCCUUUGUACGCACCGCCCGUCGCUCCUACCGAUUGGGUGUGCUGGUGAAAUGUUCGGAUCGGCCGUUUGUCGCGGUUUCCGCGGCUCGUGGCUGAGAAGUUCAUUAAACCCUCCCACCUAGAGGAAGGAGAAGUCGUAACA
rnacentral:rRNA from 1 species